GACGAACGCUGGCGGCGUGCUUAACACAUGCAAGUCGAACGGAAAGGCCCUGCUUUUGUGGGGUGCUCGAGUGGCGAACGGGUGAGUAAACGGGAGUAACCUUCCCUUGACUUUGGGAUUACUUCAGGAAACUGGGGCUAAUACCGGAUAGGAGCUUCUGCUGCCUGGUGGGGGUUGGGAAGUUUCGGCGGUUGGGGAUGGACUCGCGGCUUUUCAGCUUGUUGGUGGGGUAGGGGCUUACCAAGGCUUUGACGGGUAGGCGGCCGGAGAGGGUGACCGGCCACAUUGGGACUGAGAUACGGCCCAGACUCCUACGGGAGGCAGCAGUGGGGAAUAUUGCACAAUGGGCGGAAGCCUGAUGCAGCAACGCCGCGUGCGGGAUGACGGCCUUCGGGUUGUAAACCGCUUUCGCCUGUGACGAAGCGUGAGUGACGGUAAUGGGGAAAGAAGCACCGGCUAACUACGU
rnacentral:rRNA from 1 species